ensembl:lncRNA
AGCAUGACGAGCACGAUGUUAAAAACUCAAACCUGAUUAAAUCUCUGAUGAAGCACAGCUUGAUAAAUGCCAGGCGACCACAGCUCUGUGAAAGCAAACGCAGAGUGCAGAGCCAGGAGAUUUCCUGUGGGGGCUGGAAGCCUGGGCCCAGAGAAGGCGGCGUGGGUCACCACGAGGUUCGUCCCGACGGUGCUGUCCUGCCACAGGGAGGCGUCCUACCCACGCCGUGGAGUCUCUUUUUUUCAGUGGAUCAGGAACUCAGAAGUGAUUUAUCUGGCUUGUUCUGGCCCAGAGUCUUCAUGAAGCUUCCUUUAGGAUGUUGACCAGGGCUGUAGUCAUCUGAAGACUCGCUGGGGCUAGAGGACUGGAUUCUAAGAUGGUUCACAUAUGUGAUCUGGUUGUUGCAGAAGGCCUCCCUACUGAAGCAUCUGCUGGGCUGCUUGAGUAUCCUCACAACAUGGUGGCUAGCUUCCCCCAGACCAAGCUACCCGAGAGAAAGCCAAGUGGGAGGAGCAGGGUCUUUGAUGACCUGCCUUAUUAGCAUUUCUGCAACAUCCCACUAUUUACAUGGAUCAGCCCUAUUUAAUGUGGGAGGAGACAACACAUGGGUUAUGAAUGCUAGAAAGCAAGGAUUAAUUGGGGGCCAUCCUGAAGAUUAGCAACCACAAAUGCCUUUUGCCUUCAUUAUGGUAAAGACCAGGAAGCAAACAAUUCUGUUUCUUAGGACUUCCCUGGUGGUACAGUGGUUAGGAAUGCACCUGCCAAUGCAGAAGAUAUGGGUUUGGUCCCUGGUCUGGGAAGACUGCACAUGCCUCGGGGCAACUAACUCCAUUUGCUACAACGACUGAAUCCACGUGCCACAACUCUACUGAAGCCCUUGAGCCCGUUCUCUGCAGCAAGAGAAGCCACGCCAAUGAGAAGUCAGCUUACUACAGCAAAGAGCCCUGCUCUCUGCAACUAGAGAAAGUCCGCUCACAGCAACAAAGACCCAGCACAGCCAAAAAU